UACGUAGGGGGCGAGCGUUGUCCGGAGUUACUGGGCGUAAAGGGCAUGCAGGCGGUCCGACACGUUUUGUGUGACAGCGGGUGGCUUAACUACCCGAGGAUACGAAAGACGGUCGGACUUGAGGACUCGAGAGGGACACGGAAUUCCGGGUGGAGUGGUGAAAUGCGUAGAGAUCCGGAGGAACACCGAAGGCGAAGGCAGUGUCCUGGCGAGUGACUGACGCUGAGGUGCGAAAGCCAGGGGAGCGAACGGG
rnacentral:rRNA from 1 species